rnacentral:rRNA from 1 species
GUAGGGAAUAUUGGACAAUGGGGGCAACCCUGAUCCAGCGACGCCGCGUGAGUGAUGAAGGCCUUCGGGUCGUAAAGCUCUGUUGCAGGGGAAGAACACAAUGACGGUACCCUGCUAGAAAGGAUCGGCUAACUUAGUGCCAGCAGCCGCGGUAAGACGAGGGAUCCUAGCGUUGUUCGGAAUUAUUGGGCGUAAAGCGGGUGCAGGUGGCUUGGUAAGUCAGAUGUGAAAGCCUGGGGCUUAACCCCAGAAGUGCAUUUGAUACUGCUGAGCUUGAGUGCUGGAGAGGCUAUUAGAAUUCCUGGUGUAGUGGUGAAAUACGUAGAUAUCAGGAGGAAUACCGGAGGCGAAGGCGGAUAGCUGGCCAGACACUGACACUCAGACCCGAAAGCGUGGGGAUCAAACAGGAUUAGAAACCCCGGUAGUCC